rnacentral:rRNA from 1 species
CAGUAGCCGCGGUAAUACGAAGGGUGCAAGCGUUAAUCGGAAUUACUGGGCGUAAAGCGUGCGUAGGCGGUGAGUUAAGUCUGCUGUGAAAUCCCCGGGCUCAACCUGGGAAUGGCAGUGGAUACUGGCUCGCUAGAGUGUGUCAGAGGAUGGUGGAAUUCCCGGUGUAGCGGUGAAAUGCGUAGAGAUCGGGGGGAACAUCAGUGGCGAAGGCGGCCAUCUGGACAACACUGACGCUGAGGCACGAAAGCGUGGGGAGCAAACAGGAUUAGAUACCCCUGUAGUCCUUGUCUCUUAUACA